GGGUCGGGGUUUCGUACGUAGCAGA
rnacentral:piRNA from 7 species